AUUGAACGCUGGCGGCAUGCCUUACACAUGCAAGUCGAACGGUAACAGGUCUUCGGAUGCUGACGAGUGGCGAACGGGUGAGUAAUACAUCGGAACGUGCCUAGUAGUGGGGGAUAACUACUCGAAAGAGUGGCUAAUACCGCAUGAGAUUUACGGAUGAAAGCAGGGGAUCGCAAGACCUUGUGCUACUAGAGCGGCCGAUGGCAGAUUAGGUAGUUGGUGGGAUAAAAGCUUACCAAGCCGACGAUCUGUAGCUGGUCUGAGAGGACGAUCAGCCACACUGGGACUGAGACACGGCCCAGACUCCUACGGGAGGCAGCAUUGGGGAAUUUUGGACAAUGGGCGCAAGCCUGAUCCAGCAAUGCCGCGUGCAGGAUGAAGGCCUUCGGGUUGUAAACUGCUUUUGUACGGAACGAAAAGCCCUGGGUUAAUACCCUGGGGUCAUGACGGUACCGUAAGAAUAAGCACCGGCUAACUACGUGCCAGCCGCCGCAGUAACAC
rnacentral:rRNA from 1 species